AGCGAACGCUGGCGGCAGGCUUAACACAUGCAAGUCGAACGGGCACUUCGGUGCUAGUGGCAGACGGGUGAGUAACGCGCGGGAACGUGCCUUUCGGUUCGGAAUAAUCCAGGGAAACUUGGACGAAUACCGGAUACGCCCUUCGGGGGAAAGAUUUAUCGCCGAAAGAUCGGCCCGCGUCUGAUUAGCUAGUUGGUGAGGUAAAGGCUCACCAAGGCGACGAUCAGUAGCUGGUCUGAGAGGAUGAUCAGCCACAUUGGGACUGAGACACGGCCCAAACUCCUACGGGAGGCAGCAGUGGGGAAUAUUGGACAAUGGGCGAAAGCCUGAUCCAGCCAUGCCGCGUGAGUGAUGAAGGCCUUAGGGUUGUAAAGCUCUUUUGUCCGGGAAGAUAAUGACUGUACCGGAAGAAUAAGCCCCGGCUAACUUCGUGCCAGCCGCCGCAGUAA
rnacentral:rRNA from 1 species